rnacentral:rRNA from 1 species
AGGGCGCUAAAUGGAUGCCUAGACGUAUAUUACCGAUGAAGGACGUGGAAGACUGCGAUAAGCUUCGGGAAGCUGUCAACAAGCUUUGAUCCGGAGAUCUCCGAAUGGGGAAACCCAGCAUGAGUCAUGUCAUGUUGCCACUUGCUGAACACAUAGGCAAGCGAGCGGGAACCAUCUGAACUGAAACAUCUUAGUAGGAUGAGGAAGAGAAAGUAAAUAACGAUUGCGAAAGUAGUGGCGAGCGAAAUCGCAACAGCCCAAACCUUUUAAGUUUUUGCCUAUUAAUUUAGGCAAAUAAGUUGAUAGACGAAUACUUAUAAGGGGUUGUGAUAUUACAUAUGACCAAGUCAGAGAAUUUGAUUCAUUCAAAUAAUCUGAUUUGCGAUAACUGGCUAUCAACAGUUAGUAAGGUAAGAAAUCGGCGUGGUUAGUAGAAUAGUUUGAAUGACUAGCCAAAGAACGUGAAAGCCGUGUAUAUGAAAACGACGCUGACCUUAUGUAUGUUUUAUCGAGUAGGACGGGGCACGAGAAACCCUGUUUGAAUCUGGCUGGACCACCAGCCAAGGCUAAAUAUAAUAUACGAUCGAUAGUGAACUAGUACAGUGAUGGAAAGGUGAAAAGAACCCCGGGAGGGGAGUGAAAUAGAUCCUGAAAUUUAGUGCCUACAAGGAGUCGGAGCCGGCUUGUCCGGUGACGGCGUGCUUUUUGUAGAACGAUCCAGCGAGUUAAUUUUUACAGCGAGGUUAAGUCAAUUGACGGAGCCACAGUGAAAGCGAGCCUGAAUAGGGCGAAUAAGUUGUAAGGAUUAGACCCGAAACCGGGUGACCUAACCAUGAGCAGGUUGAAGCCACUGUAACAGGUGGUGGAGGACCGAACCAGGAUACGCAGCAAAGUGUUUGGAUGACUUGUGGUUAGCGGUGAAAUGCCAAUCGAACUCGGAGAUAGCUGGUUCUCCUCGAAAUAGCUUUAGGGCUAGCGUCGUGUUAGUAGCACAUGGGGGUAGAGCUCUGUAAAGGACUGGGGCGGGCAACUGUACCCACCCUUAACAAACUACGAAUACCAUGUGUGUAAUCACGGCAGUUAGAACAUCGGUGCUAAGAUCGGUGCUCAAAAGGGAAACAGCCCAGACCAUCAUCUAAGGUCCCUAAAUUAACGUUCAGUGGGAAACAAGGUGAGAUUUCUUAAACAGCUAGGAUGUUGGCUUAGAAAGCAGCCAUUCAUUUAAAGAGUGCGUAACAGCUCACUAGUCAAGAGAUCUUGCGUGGAAAAUGUAACGGGGCUAAAACGUUAUACCGAAGAUAUGGAUUACACGCUAAGUACAAAGUUAAAGUUGUGUUACAAUCAAUUUAUGGAAAAUGAGAUUUACAUAGGUAGCGUUUAUAAACACUAUAAAGGCAAUAAGUAUGUUGUUGUAAGUAUAGCUGUUCAUACUGAGACGCUUGAAGAGCUUGUAGUUUAUCGAGCCAUUUAUGGCGACGGAGAAUUAUGGGCUAGACCUAAGAAAAUGUUUUUGGAUAAUAUUGAAAAGAACGGAAAGAUCAUCCCAAGGUGAAGUCGAAUCGGAAGGUUCGGUGGAGCGGUAGGAAGUGAGAAUGCUGGAAUGAGUAACCAUAAGAGAGGUGAGAAUCCUCUCGGCCGUAAGAGCAAGGUUUCCUGAGCCAUGGUAAUCAUCUCAGGGUUAGUCGGGCCUAAGCCGAGGCGCAGAGCGUAGGCGAUGGACAUCAGGUUAAUAUUCCUGAACCGGUUAAGUUUUGUACACUGUUCACGGGGAAGUAAUCGAAGCGGAUUCAUGGUUUAUCCGUCCAACCGAGCGGGAACGCAAAGGGAGUGAAAGUGAUUCUUCGGAGUCGCGAUUUUGGUGAAAGCCCUGGCUAGAAAAGCAGGUGUACGCGUGGACUUAGCCGCCCGUACCGCAAACCAACACAGGUGCUCGAGUCGAGUAGACUCAGGCUUACGAGCGAACCUUCGCUAAGGAACUCGGCAAUACAGCGACCGUAACUUCGGGAUAAGGUCUGCCCCCACUUCGGUGGAUAUCAGCCGCGUUCACUCAGUGAAUAUUAGGUUAAAGAGUACAUUUUUAAUCACAAAACGAAUUUUCUGAGAUAGAGCAAACGAAUUGUUCUUUUGAGCGCGAACCUCUGACGUCUAACGAUGUGGGGGCCGCAGCAAAAGAGCCCACGGAACUGUUUAUCAAAAACACAGGUCUCUGCUAACACGAAAGUGGAUGUAUAGGGGCUGACUCCUGCCCAAUGCUGGAAGGUUAAGGGGAGCGCUUCACGGUGCGAACUGAAGCCCUAGUCAAUGGCGGCGGUAACUAUAACCGUCCUAAGGUAGCGAAAUUCCUUGUCAGGUAAGUUCUGACCCGCACGAAUGGAGUAAUCAUGUGGGCACUGUCUCAGCGAAGGACUCGGUGAAAGUGCAUUGGCGGUAAAGAUGCCGUCUGUCCGUACCAGGACGAAAAGACCCCAUGGAGCUUUACUACAGCUUUACAUUGAAUAUGGUUUCAACAUGUGUAGCAUAGGUGGGAGACUUUGAAGCAGAUACGCCAGUAUUUGUGGAGUCACCAAGUGAAAUACCACCCUUGUUGUGAUUGUGUUCUCACGCUGACCGUUAUCCGGUUAGCGGACCGUGUAUGGUGGGUAGUUUAACUGGGGCGGUUGCCUCCUAAAGAGUAGCGGAGGCGUUCAAAGGUUGGCUAACUUCGGAUGGAAAUCGAAGUGAU